rnacentral:rRNA from 1 species
AACGAACGCUGGCGGCAUGCCUAACACAUGCAAGUCGAACGAGACCUUCGGGUCUAGUGGCGCACGGGUGCGUAACGCGUGGGAACCUGCCCUUAGGUUCGGAAUAACUCCCCGAAAGGGGUGCUAAUACCGGAUAAUGUCUUCGGACCAAAGAUUUAUCGCCUUUGGAUGGGCCCGCGUUGGAUUAGCUAGUUGGUAGGGUAAAAGCCUACCAAGGCGCCGAUCCAUAGCUGGUCUGAGAGGAUGAUCAGCCACACUGGGACUGAGACACGGCCCAGACUCCUACGGGAGGCAGCAGUGGGGAAUAGUGGACAAUGGGCGAAAGCCUGAUCCAGCAAUGCCGCGUGAGUGAUGAAGGCCUUAGGGUUGUAAAGCUCUUUUACCCGGGAUGAUAAUGACAGUACCGGGAGAAUAAGCUCCGGCUAACUCCGUG